rnacentral:rRNA from 1 species
GAUGAACGCUGGCGGCGUGCCUAAUACAUGCAAGUCGAGCGAACAGACGAGGAGCUUGCUCCUCUGACGUUAGCGGCGGACGGGUGAGUAACACGUGGAUAACCUACCUAUAAGACUGGGAUAACUUCGGGAAACCGGAGCUAAUACCGGAUAAUAUAUUUGAACCGCAUGGUUCAAUAGUGAAAGACGGUUUUGCUGUCACUUAUAGAUGGAUCCGCGCCGCAUUAGCUAGUUGGUAAGGUAACGGCUUACCAAGGCAACGAUGCGUAGCCGACCUGAGAGGGUGAUCGGCCACACUGGAACUGAGACACGGUCCAGACUCCUACGGGAGGCAGCAGUAGGGAAUCUUCCGCAAUGGGCGAAAGCCUGACGGAGCAACGCCGCGUGAGUGAUGAAGGUCUUCGGAUCGUAAAACUCUGUUAUUAGGGAAGAACAAAUGUGUAAGUAACUAUGCACGUCUUGACGGUACCUAAUCAGAAAGCCACGGCUAACUACGUG